rnacentral:rRNA from 1 species
CCUACGGGCGGCUGCAGUGGGGAAUAUUGGACAAUGGGGGGAACCCUGAUCCAGCCAUGCCGCGUGUGUGAAGAAGGCCCUCGGGUUGGAAAGCACUUUCAGUGAGGAAGAACGCCUGGUGGUUAAUACCCAUCAGGAAAGACAUCACUCACAGAAGAAGCACCGGCUAACUCCGUGCCAGCAGCCGCGGUAAUACGGAGGGUGCGAGCGUUAAUCGGAAUUACUGGGCGUAAAGCGCGCGUAGGUGGCUUGAUAAGCCGGUUGUGAAAGCCCCGGGCUCAACCUGGGAACGGCAUCCGGAACUGUCCAGCUAGAGUGCAGGAGAGGAAGGUAGAAUUCCCGGUGUAGCGGUGAAAUGCGUAGAGAUCGGGAGGAAUACCAGUGGCGAAGGCGGCCUUCUGGACUGACACUGACACUGAGGUGCGAAAGCGUGGGUAGCAAACAGGAUUAGAUACCCGGGUAGUC